rnacentral:rRNA from 1 species
CACGUAGUUAGCCGGCGCUUCUUCUGCAGGUACCGUCACUUUCGCUUCUUCCCUACUGAAAGAGGUUUACAACCCGAAGGCCUUCAUCCCUCACGCGGCGUCGCUGCAUCAGGCUUUCGCCCAUUGUGCAAUAUUCCCCACUGCUGCCUCCCGUAGGAGUCUGGGCCGUGUCUCAGUCCCAGUGUGGCCGGUCGCCCUCUCAGGCCGGCUACCCGUCGACGCCUUGGUGAGCCAUUACCUCACCAACAAGCUGAUAGGCCGCGAGUCCAUCCUUGACCGAAAAACUUUCCAGACGCCGACCAUGCGGUCGCGUCUCGUAUCCGGUAUUAGCCCCGGUUUCCCGGAGUUAUCCCAGAGUCAAGGGCAGGUUACUCACGUGUUACUCACCCGUUCGCCACUGAUCAACCAGAGCAAGCUCUGAUGUCACCGUUCGACUUGCAUGUGUUAAGCACGCCGCCAGCGUUCGUCCUGAGCCAGGAUCAAACUCU